ensembl:lncRNA
CCCCCCCCCCCCCCCCCCCCCCCCCCCCCCCCCCCCCCCCCCCCCCCCCCCCCCCCCCCCCCCCCCCCCCCCCCCCCCCCCCCCCCGGUGUGGGCGGCCGGCCCGAGGUCAUCCUGGAGGGCAGCUACGACGGGCACAGCUGGACGGUGAGUCCGGGCUGGGCACGGGUGGGCACGGCUGGGCGGUGAGUCUGGGCUGGGCACGGGUGGGCGGUGAGUCGGGGCUGGGCACUGAGGGAUGACCUCCCCCCCCCCCCCCCCCCCCCCCCCCCCCCCCCCCCCCCCCCCCCCCCCCCCCCAGCUGGACGGUGAGUCGGGGCUGGGCACAGGUGGGCAUGGCUGGACAGCGAGUCUGGGGUGGGCACAGCUGGGCGGUGAGUCCGGGCUGGGCACGGCUGGACACAGCUGGGCACAGCUGGACGGUGAGUCGGGGCUGGGCACUGAGGGAUGGGCACAGCUGGGCACAGCUGGGCUGUGAGUCUGGGCUGGGCACGGCUGGGCUGUGAGUCUGGGCUGGGCACGGCUGGGCUGUGAGUCUGGGCUGAGCACAGCUGGGCGGUGAGUCGGGGCUGGGCACUGAGGGAUGGGCACAGCUGGGCGCAGGAAUCUGGUGUCCUGCCCCAGAAUCCCGGGAUUUCGGGCGGGAACAUCCUUUUCCUGGCACUCUGAUCCCCCUGGGCAGGAGCAGGCCCAGGUGGGAUUGGGUUCUGGAGGUGUCCCUGCCCCAGAAUGCCACAGUUUUGGCUGGGAAGGGACUUCCCACCCCUGCGGUGUCACACGCAGCAUUUCCCAGGGUUCAUCCCCCCUUGCACCCCAGGGACAGCCCUGGGCUGAGCCAGGGCCCCAUUUCCCCCCCAGCCAUUCCCAGUCCCAUCCUGUACAAACACCAUGGGCUGUGCUGGGGUCCCCAUUUCCCCCCCAGCCAUUCCCAGUCCCAUCCUGUACAAACACCAUGGGCUGUGCUGGGGUCCCCAUUUCCCCCCCAGCCAUUCCCAGUCCCAUCCUGUACAAACACCAUGGGCUGUGCUGGGGUCCCCAUUUCCCCCCCAGCCAUUCCCAGUCCCAUCCUGUACAAACACCAUGGGCUGUGCUGGGGUCCCCAUUUCCCCCCCAGCCAUUCCCAGUCCCAUCCUGUACAAACACCAUGGGCUGUGCUGGGGUCCCCAUUUCCCCCCCAGCCAUUCCCAGUCCCAUCCUGUACAAACACCAUGGGCUGUGCUGGGGUCCCCAUUUCCCCCCCAGCCAUUCCCAGUCCCAUCCUGUACAAACACCAUGGGCUGUGCUGGGGUCCCCAUUUCCCCCCCAGCCAUUCCCAGUCCCAUCCUGUACAAACACCAUGGGCUGUGCUGGGGUCCCCAUUUCCCCCCCAGCCAUUCCCAGUCCCAUCCUGUACAAACACCAUGGGCUGUGCUGGGGUCCCCAUUUCCCCCCCAGCCAUUCCCAGUCCCAUCCUGUACAAACACCAUGGGCUGUGCUGGGGUCCCCAUUUCCCCCCCAGCCAUUCCCAGUCCCAUCCUGUACAAACACCAUGGGCUGUGCUGGGGUCCCCAUUUCCCCCCCAGCCAUUCCCAGUCCCAUCCUGUACAAACACCAUGGGCUGUGCUGGGGUCCCCAUUUCCCCCCCAGCCAUUCCCAGUCCCAUCCUGUACAAACACCAUGGGCUGUGCUGGGGUCCCCAUUUCCCCCCCAGCCAUUCCCAGUCCCAUCCUGUACAAACACCAUGGGCUGUGCUGGGGUCCCCAUUUCCCCCCCAGCCAUUCCCAGUCCCAUCCUGUACAAACACCAUGGGCUGUGCUGGGGUCCCCAUUUCCCCCCCAGCCAUUCCCAGUCCCAUCCUGUACAAACACCAUGGGCUGUGCUGGGGUCCCCAUUUCCCCCCCAGCCAUUCCCAGUCCCAUCCUGUACAAACACCAUGGGCUGUGCUGGGGUCCCCAUUUCCCCCCCAGCCAUUCCCAGUCCCAUCCUGUACAAACACCAUGGGCUGUGCUGGGGUCCCCAUUUCCCCCCCAGCCAUUCCCAGUCCCAUCCUGUACAAACACCAUGGGCUGUGCUGGGGUCCCCAUUUCCCCCCCAGCCAUUCCCAGUCCCAUCCUGUACAAACACCAUGGGCUGUGCUGGGGUCCCCAUUUCCCCCCCAGCCAUUCCCAGUCCCAUCCUGUACAAACACCAUGGGCUGUGCUGGGGUCCCCAUUUCCCCCCCAGCCAUUCCCAGUCCCAUCCUGUACAAACACCAUGGGCUGUGCUGGGGUCCCCAUUUCCCCCCCAGCCAUUCCCAGUCCCAUCCUGUACAAACACCAUGGGCUGUGCUGGGGUCCCCAUUUCCCCCCCAGCCAUUCCCAGUCCCAUCCUGUACAAACACCAUGGGCUGUGCUGGGGUCCCCAUUUCCCCCCCAGCCAUUCCCAGUCCCAUCCUGUACAAACACCAUGGGCUGUGCUGGGGUCCCCAUUUCCCCCCCAGCCAUUCCCAGUCCCAUCCUGUACAAACACCAUGGGCUGUGCUGGGGUCCCCAUUUCCCCCCCAGCCAUUCCCAGUCCCAUCCUGUACAAACACCAUGGGCUGUGCUGGGGUCCCCAUUUCCCCCCCAGCCAUUCCCAGUCCCAUCCUGUACAAACACCAUGGGCUGUGCUGGGGUCCCCAUUUCCCCCCCAGCCAUUCCCAGUCCCAUCCUGUACAAACACCAUGGGCUGUGCUGGGGUCCCCAUUUCCCCCCCAGCCAUUCCCAGUCCCAUCCUGUACAAACACCAUGGGCUGUGCUGGGGUCCCCAUUUCGUCCUGGUUUGGGUUUGGGGUGUCCCUGUCUGGGUUUGGGUGUCCCUGUUUGGGUUUGUGUGUCCCUGUCUGGGUUUGGGGUGUCCCUCUCUGGGUUUGGGUGUCCCUGUUUAGGUUUGAGGUGUCCCUGUUUGGGUUUGGAGUGUCCUGGUUUGGGUUUGAGGUGUCCUGGUUUGGGUUUGGGGGUUUGGGGUCACCUGAGCCCCCGGCACAGGGGGGUUUGGGGUCCCUGAGCCCCCGGCACAGGGGGGUUUGGGGUCACCUGAGCCCCCGGCACAGGGGGGUUUGGGGUCCCUGAGCCCCCGGCACAGGGGGGUUUGGGGUCACCUGAGCCCCCGGCACAGGGGGGUUUGGGGUCCCUGAGCCCCCGGCACAGGGGGGUUUGGGGUCACCUGAGCCCCCGGCACAGGGGGGUUUGGGGUCCCUGAGCCCCCGGCACAGGGGGGUUUGGGGUCACCUGAGCCCCCGGCACAGGGGGGUUUGGGGUCCCUGAGCCCCCGGCACAGGGGGGUUUGGGGUCACCUGAGCCCCCGGCACAGGGGGGUUUGGGGUCCCUGAGCCCCCGGCACAGGGGGGUUUGGGGUCACCUGAGCCCCCGGCACAGGGGGGUUUGGGGUCCCUGAGCCCCCGGCACAGGGGGGUUUGGGGUCACCUGAGCCCCCGGCACAGGGGGGUUUGGGGUCCCUGAGCCCCCGGCACAGGGGGGUUUGGGGUCACCUGAGCCCCCGGCACAGGGGGGUUUGGGGUCCCUGAGCCCCCGGCACAGGGGGGUUUGGGGUCACCUGAGCCCCCGGCACAGGGGGGUUUGGGGUCCCUGAGCCCCCGGCACAGGGGGGUUUGGGGUCACCUGAGCCCCCGGCACAGGGGGGUUUGGGGUCCCUGAGCCCCCGGCACAGGGGGGUUUGGGGUCACCUGAGCCCCCGGCACAGGGGGGUUUGGGGUCCCUGAGCCCCCGGCACAGGGGGGUUUGGGGUCACCUGAGCCCCCGGCACAGGGGGGUUUGGGGUCCCUGAGCCCCCGGCACAGGGGGGUUUGGGGUCACCUGAGCCCCCGGCACAGGGGGGUUUGGGGUCCCUGAGCCCCCGGCACAGGGGGGUUUGGGGUCACCUGAGCCCCCGGCACAGGGGGGUUUGGGGUCCCUGAGCCCCCGGCACAGGGGGGUUUGGGGUCACCUGAGCCCCCGGCACAGGGGGGUUUGGGGUCCCUGAGCCCCCGGCACAGGGGGGUUUGGGGUCACCUGAGCCCCCGGCACAGGGGGGUUGGGGUCACCUGAGCCCCCGGCACAGGGAGGUUUGGGGUCCCUGAGCCCCCAGCCCAGCCCUGGGGGAUGGUUUUGGGGUCACCUGAGCCCCCAUCCCGGGCACAGGGAGGGGUUUGGGGUCACCUGAGCCCCCAUCCCGGGUACAGGGAGGAGUUUGGGGUCACCUGAGCCCCAUCCCGGGCACAGGGAGGGGUUUUGGGGUCUCUGAGCCCCCAGCCCUCUUUGGGUUUGGGGUGUCCCUGGGUGGGUUUAGAGUGUCCUGGUUUGGGUUUGGGGUGUCCCUCUUUGGGUUUGGGGUGUCCCUGGGUGGGUUUAGAGUGUCCUGGUUUGGGUUUGGGGUGUCCCUCUUUGGGUUUGGGGUGUCCCGGUUUGGGUUUGGGGUGUCCCUCUUUGGGUUUGGGGUGUCCCUGGGUGGGUUUACGUGGUGGCGGCGGCAGCUGGUGCAGGAAUUCUUCCCGGCCGUGUCCCUGGGAGACCCCCGGCUGGAGACCCUGCUGAGCCAGCACGGCCUCAAGGUGGGUCUGGGGGCGACCCCUCCCCUCCUGUCCUGGUUUGGGUUUGGGGUGUCCCUGUCUGGGUUUGGGGUGUCCCUGUUUGGGUUUGGAGUCUCCUUGUUUAGGUUUGGGUGUCCCUGUUUGGGUUUGUGUGUCCCUGUCUGGGUUUGGGGUGUCCCUCUCUGGGUUUGGGUGUCCCUGUUUAGGUUUGAGGUGUCCCUGUUUGGGUUUGGAGUGUCCUGGUUUGGGUUUGAGGUGUCCUGGUUUGGGUUUGGGGUGUCCCUCUCUGGGUUUGGAGUGUCCCUCUCUGGGUUUGGGGUGUCCCUGUUUAGAUUUGGGGUGUCCCUGUCUGGGUUUGGGUGUCCGUCCUGGUUUGGGUUUGGGGUGUCCCUGUCUGGGUUUGGGGUGUCCCUGUUUGGGUUUGGAGUCUCCUUGUUUAGGUUUGGGUGUCCCUGUUUGGGUUUGUGUGUCCCUGUCUGGGUUUGGGGUGUCCCUCUCUGGGUUUGGGUGUCCCUCUCUGGGUUUGGAGUGUCCCUCUCUGGGUUUGGGUGUCCCUCUCUGGGUUUGGGGUGUCCCUGUUUAGAUUGGGUGUCCCUCUCUGGGUUUGGAGUGUUCAUGUUUGGGUUUGGGGUGUCCCUGUCUGGGUUUGGGGUGUCCCUGUUUGGGUUUGGAGUCUCCUUGUUUAGGUUUGGGUGUCCCUGUUUGGGUUUGUGUGUCCCUGUCUGGGUUUGGGGUGUCCCUCUCUGGGUUUGGGUGUCCCUCUCUGGGUUUGGGGUGUCCCUGCAGCUCUGGGGGCUGUCUCUGGGUUGAUUCGGGGUGUCCCUGUCUGUUCUGGGGUACAUUUGGGGUGUCCCCGGUGUGCUGGGGGCGCCUUUGCUGACCCCGUGUCCCGCAGUGAUCCGCCUGGUGCAGGCAGACCCCGCCCGGUACCCGUUCCAGGGCCGGCCCCCCGCCUUCCUGCGGGCCCGGCUCUACAAGUACCGAUUCACCGGCCCCGGGGAGGCCAGGUCAGCGGGGGGGGCCUGGGGGCCACGGGGAGGGCCCCCCCCCCCCCCCCCCCCCCCCCCCCCCCCCCCCCCCCCCCCCCCCCCCCCCCCCC